rnacentral:rRNA from 1 species
AGAGUUUGAUUCUGGCUCAGAUUGAACGCUGGCGGAAUGCUUUACACAUGCAAGUCGAACGGCAGCACGGGAGCUUGCUCCUGGUGGCGAGUGGCGAACGGGUGAGUAAUGCGUCGGAACGUACCGAGUAAUGGGGGAUAACGCAGCGAAAGCUGUGCUAAUACCGCAUACGCCCUGAGGGGGAAAGUGGGGGAUCGCAAGACCUCACGUUAUUCGAGCGGCCGACGUCUGAUUAGCUAGUUGGUGGGGUAAAGGCCUACCAAGGCGACGAUCAGUAGCGGGUCUGAGAGGAUGAUCCGCCACACUGGGACUGAGACACGGCCCAGACUCCUACGGGAGGCAGCAGUGGGGAAUUUUGGACAAUGGGGGCAACCCUGAUCCAGCCAUUCCGCGUGAGUGAAGAAGGCCUUCGGGUUGUAAAGCUCUUUCAGCUGGAACGAAACGGUACGCUCUAACAUAGCGUGCUAAUGACGGUACCGGCAGAAGAAGCACCGGCUAACUACGUGCCAGCAGCCGCGGUAAUACGUAGGGUGCGAGCGUUAAUCGGAAUUACUGGGCGUAAAGCGUGCGCAGGCGGAUUGUUAAGCAAGACGUGAAAGCCCCGGGCUUAACCUGGGAAUGGCGUUUUGAACUGGCAGUCUAGAGUGCGUCAGAGGGGGGUGGAAUUCCACGUGUAGCAGUGAAAUGCGUAAAGAUGUGGAGGAACACCAAUGGCGAAGGCAGCCCCCUGGGAUGACACUGACGCUCAUGUACGAAAGCGUGGGUAGCAAACAGGAUUAGAUACCCUGGUAGUCCACGCCCUAAACGAUGUCAACUGGUUGUUGGGGGAGUGAAAUCCCUUAGUAACGAAGCUAACGCGUGAAGUUGACCGCCUGGGGAGUACGGUCGCAAGAUUAAAACUCAAAUGAAUUGACGG